GCUAUUCCAGUUGCAUCUCUGAAGCUUUUUUUGAGCUCAGCUUUCUGUCUGCCAGAUGUUCGCUUACACUAACUCACUGUUGGUAAAUGUAAAUCUGCAGCCAUCGUUGACAACCUGAUGAGCCGAACACUCGCGUGGGAGAGCGAGAGGAAGAAGCCGUUCCUGUACGACGGGGCUCGCUUGGUGGCCGUCCUGGAGGAGCACAAGCAAGCCAGGCUGAGGCAGGAGGAGGAGAGGAGGCGGCUCAGGGUAAGAGAAAACAUUACCGCAAUUGUUUGGCACCGGCAAGAACAC
rnacentral:lncRNA from 1 species